rnacentral:rRNA from 1 species
UACGAAGGGGGCUAGCGUUGCUCGGAAUCACUGGGCGUAAAGCGCACGUAGGCGGAUUGCUAAGUCAGGGGUGAAAUCCUGGAGCUCAACUCCAGAACUGCCUUUGAUACUGGCGAUCUCGAGUUCGGGAGAGGUGAGUGGAACUGCGAGUGUAGAGGUGAAAUUCGUAGAUAUUCGCAAGAACACCAGUGGCGAAGGCGCUCACUGGCCCGAUACUGACGCUGAGGCACGAAAGCGUGGGGAGCAAACAGG